UACGAAGGGUGCAAGCGUUACUCGGAAUUACUGGGCGUAAAGCGUGCGUAGGUGGUUUGUUAAGUCUGUUGUGAAAGCCCCGGGCUCAACCUGGGAAUGGCAAUGGAUACUGGCAAGCUAGAGUGCGGUAGAGGGUAGUGGAAUUCCCGGUGUAGCGGUGAAAUGCGUAGAGAAUCGGGAGGAACACCAGUGGCGAAGGCGGCUACCUGGACCGAGCACUGAC
rnacentral:rRNA from 1 species